AUUGAACGCUGGCGGCAUGCGUUACACAUGCAAGUCGAACGGUAACAGGGUGCUUGCACCGCUGACGAGUGGCGAACGGGUGAGUAAUGCGUGGGAACGUGCCGAGUAGUGGGGGAUAACGCAUCGAAAGGUGUGCUAAUACCGCAUACGUACUGAGGUAGAAAGUGGGGGACCUUCGGGCCUCACGCUAUUCGAGCGGCCGACGGCGGAUUAGCUAGUUGGUGAGGUAAAGGCGCACCAAGGCGACGAUCAGUAGCGGGUGUGAGAGGAGGAUGCGGCACACUGGGACUGAGACACGGCCGAGACUCCUACGGGAGGCAGCAGUGGGGAAUUUUGGACAAUGGGCGCAAGCCUGAUCCAGCCAUGCCGCGUGUCUGAAGAAGGCCUUCGGGUUGUAAAGGACUUUUGUCCGGGAGCAAAUACCCAGUGCUAAUAACGCUGGGGGCUGGGAGUACCGGAAGAAUAAGCACCGGCUAACUACGUGCCAGCCGCCGCUGUAACAC
rnacentral:rRNA from 1 species